rnacentral:lncRNA from 1 species
GGAGAGGGCUCAGAGGAUGUGACAAUGGGCUCAGGGGAGAGGGCUCAGGGGAUAGGGCUCAGGGGAUGUGACAAUGGACUCAGGGGAGAGGACUCAUGGGAGAGGAGUCAGGGGAUGCGACAAUGGGCUCAGGGGAGAGGACUCAGGGGAGAGGGCUCAGGGGAGAGGGCUCAGGGGAUGUGACGAUGGACUCAGGGGAGAGGGUUCAGGGGAUGUGACAGUGGGCGAAGGAGAGAUGUCAGGCCUCUGAGCCCAAGCUAAGCCAUCAUAUCCCCUGUGACCUGCAGGUACACAUCCAGAUGGCCAGUUCCUGCCUUAACUGAUGACAUUCCACCACAAAAGAAGUGAAAAUGGCCUGUUCCUGCCUUAACUGAUGAUGACAUUACCUUAUGAACUUCCUUCUCCUGGCUCAUCCUGGCUCAAAAGCUCCCCUGCUGAGCACCUUGUGACCCCCACCCCUGCCUGCCAGAGAACAACUCCCCUUCUUCCUUUACCUACCCAAAUC